rnacentral:lncRNA from 1 species
UGCCUUUGUAACCCUCCCUCCCCUUGAGUGGGGGCUGAUUUAGUGACUUGCUUCUAGAGAAUAGAAUGCAGUAGAGUUGAUGGGAUGUCACUUUUGAUAUUAGUAUAUAAAAAGGCUGUGCACUCUCUCUUGCCUUCUCACUUGCUUUGAGGGAAGCCCACUGCCAUGUUGCAAGCUGCCCUGUGAAGAGGCCUCCAUGACAAAGAACUGUAGGGUCCCCUGGACAACAGCCAGCAAGGCAAUGAGACCCUUAGUCCAAUAGCCCACGAGGAACUGAAUCUUGCCAAGAACCACAUGGAUGAGGUUGCAAGUAGGUCCUUCCCAAGUGUACCCUGGACGACAUUGUUACAUGUGCUUUCCCAAAUCCACGGACUUCUGGCUGAUCCGGGGUUGCAAUAUGCACUGCACCACCAUCCUCUCUCUUGGAAAUUCCCUUCGGCUGGGAAAGAAAUGGAUGAUCAAGGUCAGUGGUUUCCAACCAGGCUGAACAUCAGAAUCCACAGGAAUGAUGCUAAGCCCCAUUUCACCUCUGAGACUUUCAGGUUCAAGCGUCUGGAAUGGGGCCACAGAUCUGAAUUUUUAAAGAAGGGUUCUGGUUGACUCUGACAGUUACAUUAAAUGAGUAUAUUUUGGAACCACCAGGCUGAGUGGCCUUAAAAUUUUCUUCAAGAACUAAGGCUCCAGGGCAGGAGGGUACUAGGGAAACUGCCUGGCCACCUGACCCUUCUCUGAUCUCCUCACUCUCUCAGGUGACCCCUUCCUGGACCUAGCAUCCCUCAACUUUUCUGACUUCCCUGGACCAGGCUGGGAACUCACAUUCUCUUCUAGAGAAUAGAAUGCAAUAGAGUUGAUGGGAUGUCACUUUUGAUAUUAGUAUGUAAAAAGGCUGUGCACUCUCUCUUGCCUUCUCACUUGCUUUGAGGGAAGCCCACUGCCAUGUUGCAAGUUGCCCUGUGAAGAGGCCUCCAUGACAAGGAACUGUAGGGUCCCCUGGACAACAGCCAGCAAGGCAAUGAGACCCUUAGUCUCAUCAAUAGUCUACGAGGAACUGAAUCUUGCAAGAACCACAUGGAUGAGGUUGCAACAAGCCCAUGAGAAAGACAUUUCGGGAAAACUAGAAUCCUGUUAAGUUAUGGGAUUUUUUUCAAGCCACAUGGUUGAUAAGUAGUCUGACCAGGAUCCUGGAGCAACACAAGGAAGACAAGGACCCUUGAAGACAAGGCAGCCUUGAAACCAAAUGAAGCCCUGGGCCAGUGAGCAUGGCAAGAGGAAGACUGUUAAUUGCGAGAAAGCUGGGUCUUGAAGAUGAUUCCAUAUCAACAUACAGGGAGUUCCACCACUGAAUGGUCUAUCGGUUGGGAAUGCCAUCAUUUAUUUUCACCAGUGGGGAAGAAUUGGUAUUAAUAUCAAAACCACAGUACUGUCAUACCCAGCUAUAAUUUGCAAUGUUUAUAUGCCUGUACGAAUGAAUAAUUAACAGUUAAAUGAAUCAAUAUAUAUCUAUCUAUGUGUAGGAAUAUCUAAUCUAUAAUAUAUGCUCGCGUAAGUGGUAAUUAAUCUCUUUUUUGAGACAGGGUCUUUCUCUGUCAUACAGGCUGGAGUGCAAUGACAUGAUUAUGGACCUUCAGGGAUUGAGCAGCUCGACAUCCCAAGGAUCAAGCAAUCCUCCGGCCUCAGCCUACCAAGUAGCUGGGACUACAGCCAUUUGACACCCCACCCAGUUAAUUUUUGUUUUUUGUUUUUUUGUAAAGACAAGGUUUAGCCAUGUUGCCCAGGCUGGUCUGGAACCCCUGGGUUCAAGCAAUCCUCCCACCUCAGCUUCCCAAAGUGCUGGGAUUAUAGGCAUAAGCCACUGCACCCAGCAUAAAUAAUCUCUUAUUUGUUCAUCCAUGGUGUUGUCUUUAGUUUUUAAAAAUGGAUCCUUUUGUUAUUCUUUUAUAGCCCCAGAUUAAGAAUUUGUCCAAGUUUUGUAUAUUUUUUCAGUUAUUUCAAUAUCAAAGCCCAGCACAUCUUUAAAAUCACUUCUAUGUAUAGAUAUUAACCUUUUUGACAUUUGUGUUUUGGUAUUCCAUAUUUACUCAGUUCUCCUUUCACACCCUCCCUUUAGAAGAGGAGUAUGACCAUGGCAGGAUGGAGGGGUAGUGGCAGUAGGGGCCAUAGUAUGUUUUCUAUAUUUAUCCAGCAUAUUUAAAACAUGGUAUUCUAGCUUCAAGGGAGAACAUUGAACUCCCAUUUGGACAUGUUAAGUUGAAGAUGUCUGUUAGACACCCAAGAGAAUAUGUCAAGCAGAUAUCAUCUGCCCUUGUUUUUCCUUUUCCAAACUGGCUCUCCUUAGUUCCAUCUCCAGAUGACAUGGUCCUCAAACCCUUUGUGAUCUUGGUUCUCUACUCCAGUUCUUCAAUGUUUUUCUUGAAUGUGGCACCCAGAAUUAAAUAGAGCACCCCAGAUAAUGGCUGCCCAGCAGGAUAGACAUGUGUUUGUUAUAUAAUUCUUAGAGACUAUAGCUGACGUCACUGGUGCCCAGCCCAUAUCUUCUUGAGCCCUAGCAUUUUCGUGCAUGGUGGCCUGAUUUCUAACUGUCAGCACCUAAAUAUCUUUGCCUGAGGACUUUCUCUGUCGGCCAGAGCCUGCUUUGUGCACAGUCAGAAGUGCCAAGGAGUCAACACUCCCCAAAGGAGUCUUCAGCCAGUAACGAAAUGAAAGGUGGAGUAUAAAAACCCCAGCUCCCUCACCACUCAGCUGGGGUAGCCCUGAGAUUCAUGCUCUCCACCCUCUUCAGAGUUUCCCGGCAGCAUCAUGUUCCUGUUACCCUUCUCACUACUGACUUGAUGCUCAUCCUUUCUUGGCUCCUUCCCUGUGUCACUUCCCCCAUCCCAUAUGGGAGAAGGCUUCCUGGGUUCACCUUCCAAAGUAAUUACUGGUACUGGAAUUCUCAUCUCAAGUUUUGCCUUAGGGUCACCCAAACUAAGACAGUGCCUAAUGCUGCAUCAGCUUUCUUACCAGUCACAUGAUGCUGUUGUAUCCUUAAUGUCAGAUAAACUCCCAGCUUCUUUUUAUGUCAACUGCUACCAAGCCACACAUUCUCAGUGCUGUGCCUUUGUUAUUGAUUUUUUAACCUAAACUCAGAGUUUAUGUUUAUUCCUGUUAUACUCUUAAGUUUUUUUCCAUAUUCCAACCUAACAGAAUAACUUUGAAUAUUGAUUUGUUCUUUCGUUGUGUUAACUAUCCCUUCCAGACAUGAGUCAUAUGUAGAAAUCUGAUAAGCAUGUUUCCUGUGCCUUCAUUCACUUAAAACAAACAAACAAACAAACUUUGAACAAGGUAGGGUUAGGAAAAGAAUUCUAAACUCAAUUCCUCCCAUUGUUCAAUAAUCAAGAUUCUUUCAGUAAGAAUGCUUAUUGGUAGUGAUUCAAACUAUCUGCACCAGUUCAACCCAGAAUUUACAAAUUUGCCCAUAGGAAUAUCAGGCAAGCUCAGCUCAGUUGCUUUGCUAGAAUAGAGAAGAUCCACAAUUAUGUCAUGCCUCUGAUACAUGAGCCUAUAACCUUAUCAGAAAGGAAAUAUGGUUCAUUUGGCUUGUUAUUAGCAAUUUUAUUUUAACCACUAAGAACCUCUGAAUUCAUUUCUAAAACCCUCCAAUCUUCCUUUUAUUUUCUUUUAUUUAUAUAUAUAUAUUUUUAUUUUAUUUUACUUUAUUUUUGAGACAGAGUCUCACUCUGUCACCAGGCUGGAGUGCAGUGGCAUGAUCUCGGCUCACUGCAACCUCUGCAUCCCGGGUUCAAGCAAUUCCUCUGCCUCAGCCUCCCAAGUAGCUGGGAAUACAGGUGCACACCACCAUGCCCAGCUAAUUUUUGUAUUUUUAGUAGAGAUGGUGUUUCACCAUGUUGGCCAGGAUGGUCUCGAUCUCUUGACCUUGUGAUCUGCCCACCUCGGCCUCCCAAAGUGCUGGGAUUACAGGCGUGAGCCAUCACGCCUGGCCUCCAAUCUUCCUUUUAAUAAUUUGAUCUGGAAUUUUAUCAGGGAGCUAUGCAUGCAUGUCAGGGGAGAUCAAGUUUAUGGUUUCCAGAAUCUACACUUUCUUUUUGAGAAUGGGAACUUUUGCCAGUACAUUGUUUUCCUAUCCUCAUUUCCAUAAUUUCUCAACAACAGUAAGUAGUUUUAAGGUCACAUUUGCAAGUUUUUUGAGGAGCCUGGGAUGUAACUUUUCUGGAGACUUCAACCUACUUUAAAUGGUCACAUGCCCCCUGUGUCCCUCACUGCCUCCCUUCUGCUGAGCUCUCCCCAGUCCUGGGAAGGCUGAUUCUUUAGCUAGAGAACCCAGACCAGCCCUGUGGCCUCAUAUUUCCACAUCAGCCUUCUUGAAUCUGUGUUCCUCCCCCCUCACUUAUCUUUUUACAUCAAACACAUGGCUCAAAGCUUUUGAUAUUUGACUUGACUCUUCAGGACCCCAAGCUCCUCUGACUCAGCCCUCCACCCCCCACCCCUAACCCACGGCCCACUCUGCUUGAGGGCUCCCCAAAACCUCAAACUCCACCGUAAGCUCCCUGAGCAGCCACAAGGAUUUUGGGGUUUGGUUUGGUUUUGCCUCUUACUCCCUUUUCAUUUUCCCUGGCAUCAUUCACAUUCACCAAUCAGAUUCAUUUUUAUCAUCUCCUAUUCCUCAUGAGAAAUACAUUUUUUUAUAACCUUUUACCUUGAAUUCAAAUCCAUUUUUCCUCUGAAGCACCUGAGGUGAGGUGGGUAUCUCCUCUUGUCCUAAUCUUAUCCACAUGCCAUGAUAUGGUUUGUCUGUGUCCCUACCCAAAUCUCAUCUUGAAUCAUAGCUCCUGUAAUCCCCAUGUGUUGUGGGAAGAACCUGGUGGGAGGUAAUUGAAUCAGAGGGGUGGGUUUUUCCCAUGCUGUUCUUGUGAUAAUGAAUAAGUUUCAUGAGAUCUGAUGGUUUUAUAAAGGCGAGUUCCCCUGCAAAAUGCUCUCUUUCCUGCCACCAUGUAAGAUGUGACUUUGCUUCUCCUUUGCUUCCACCAUGAUUGUGAGUCCUCCCCAGCCAUGUGGAACUGUGAGUCAAUUAAACCUCUUUCCUUUAUAAAUUACCCAGUCUCAGAUAUGUCUUUAUUAGCAGCAUCAAAACAGACUAAUACACACCACCAGUUUUCCUCCUGCAUGUUCCUCAGUUCUGCUAGAACUGUAAAAAGAUGGAUUCCAUAGACUGGAGUCACCCUGAGGGCAGGGAUGGACCCCUAU